rnacentral:lncRNA from 1 species
UAUAAGUACCACGAGCCCUUCAGAUGAGUUUCCAACUAUCUCAUCCACUAUGAAGGCUGUGUGUCUACUUCUCCUCGUUUCUGUCCUGCUCGUCGGAGCAGCCUUUGUCGCCGACGCCCAAGUGUGCAACGGCGAAUGUCAUAACAACAGCGACUGUAACCACUGCCACGGCUGCAGCUUCCAUUGUGACAAGGGUCACAACGACGUCGUUGGACAUUGUAAAUGUCACUAGCCCCCAUGCAGGAUCAUCCAGGCAAUAAUGCUGAUUCUUGAAUAAAAAUGGAAAUGAUUA